AGCAGCCGCGGUAAUUCCAGCUCCAAUAGCGUAUAUUAAAGUUGCUGCAGUUAAAAAGCUCGUAGUUGAAUUUCGGGACCAUCAUGUCGGUCGUGCCUCGGUACGUACUGGCAUUGUUGGUUUCUCCCUUCUGACGAACCAUGAUGUCAUUUAUUUGGUGUUGUGGGGAAUCAGGACUGUUACUUUGAAAAAAUUGAGUGUUUAAAGCAGGCUCACGCUUGAAUACAUUAGCAUGGAAUAAUGAAAUAGGACGUUUGAUUCUAUUUUGUUGGUUUUUAGGAUCGACGUAAUGAUUAAUAGGGGUAGUUGGGGGCAUUAGUAUUCAAUUGUCAGAGGUGAAAUUCUUGGAUUUAUUGAAGACUAACUACUGCGAAAGCAUUUGCCAAGGAUGUUUUCAUUAAUCAAGAACGAAGUUAGGGAUCGAAGACGAUCAGAUACCGUCGUAGUCUUAACCAUAAACUAUGCCGACUAGGGAUCGGAUGAUGUUAAUUUUUAANGACUUCAUUCGGCGCCUUACGGG
rnacentral:rRNA from 1 species